rnacentral:rRNA from 1 species
GAUGAACGCUCGCGGCAGGCCUAACACAUGCAAGUCGAGGGAGAAGCCCUUUCGGGGGCAGACACCGGCGCACGGGUGCGUAACGCGUAUGCAACCUACCUUUCACAGGGGGAUAGCCCGAAGAAAUUUGGAUUAAUACCCCAUAAUAUUAUUGGAUGGCAUCAUUUGAUAAUUAAAACUGCGGUGGUGAAAGAUGGGCAUGCGUCCUAUUAGCUAGUUGGAGUGGUAACGGCACCCCAAGGCUACGAUAGGUAGGGGUCCUGAGAGGGAGAUCCCCCACACGGGAACAGGGACAGGGACAAGAGUACUGCGGGAGGCAGCAGUGAGGAAUAUUGGGCAAUGGUCGGAAGACUGAACCAGCCAUGCCGCGUGCAGGAAGAAUGCCUUAUGGGUUGUAAACUGCUUUUAUAUGGGAAGAAUAAGGCGUACGUGUACGUUGAUGACGGUACCAUAUGAAUAAGCAUCGGCUAACUCCGUG